GGAAAGGUAAUUCUACUUCUCUCAUGCAGGGACAGUGUGCAUGCUGCAUCUCUGUGUCUUCUGAACCUGUCUGUGUUAUCUCAGGUAUAACAGUGAAAGAGUUUGUCGAGGCCUGCAAGAAAGCAACAGGCGCAGACAUUAAGGUUGAGUACCUCAGCCGCAGACCAGGGGACUAUGCCGAGGUUUACAGUGACCCUUCGAAGAUCAACCGUGAGCUCAAUUGGACGGCACAUUACACUGAUCUUGAAAAGAGCCUUUCGAUUGCAUGGAGAUGGCAGAAAUCACAUCGGAAUGGUUAUGGGUCACCCUGACCAAUCCUCCCAAGAUGUGGACUUAAAAAGAGUGGAAGGCCUUAACACUGCUGUUGCUUAGUUCAAUUCAGACACACUAGAGUUGUCACUUGAAGACAUUUAACUGUAGGAGCAGGGUGCUGUUAUGUUUUCUUUUCUUUUUUCGGUGUGAUGGAAUGCUGAAAGUUUCUAAUAGCUCAGAAAGGAUUAUUUAUGGGAUCUCAUCUCUGAGGAAUUGAUAGGCUGAAUGGAAAGUAUAAAUUGAUUGUCUUGAGCUGUAUUAUGUAAUCGAAUCUCUUCUGCCACUGAGACAGAAUGCCUAACUUGGAGUUGAAUCCCUCACCGUUCGAAGGCCUCAUCAGCCAUAAAACUCGCAGGAACCUGAAGACCUGGAUGCCAAUUGCUUUGCUACCGAGAUGCAUGACAGAGCACUGCCGUCAAAGUUGCAAAGAAGGAAGAACAGCUGUGACUACCGUAGCAAAGAUGACGAUAGGAGGCCAAGCAACUUGUAUACAACAACUACUACUACUGUCGACAACAAGAGCAAGAUGUAGGAGGCCAAGCAACUUGUAUACAACUACUACUAUUGUCGGCAACAAGAGCAAGAUGAAAGAAGCGUAUGUGAAGAAGACGCGGGCAGCAAUCAGAGCUCUACUCAGAAUGAGCAACACGACGAAGUUAACCACAGGGCAAUCAUCGACAGCACGCAAUCUAAUGAUUGUUAAGUGUGUUCGUCCGAUGAUUGUUCUCUUCGAUUUGUUCAUACCAUAUCCAGGACAUAAGAGGCUUGUAAUCGUAGCUCAUAUGCGAUCACUGUGUGUGAAGGCAAAACUAUCUAAAAAUGAAGUCUCCAACCAACUUAUAGUUAUUUCAUAGAACACAGUUGCUACAUGAAACGUUAAGACAUUGGAGAUGGUAAACAUGAUUGUAGCGAGGCAAUGUUGGAUUCUAUGAAACAAGACGAUUAUAGACGAAUUUAACGAAAGAAAUGAUGUAGAACAUCAAGACGAUUGAGGACACCACACUGGCUAAGCUAAAGAACAUGCAGAUCUUGAGCACGACUAGUAAUGAUUCAGAAGAAGAAGAAGAAAUGGUGAGAAAAUACGACGAUGAAAUUGCAUCUGCUCCCACAAGCCCAUAAUAAUAAAUAACACAUUUAGUACCUUCAUAUUUUAAUAAGUUUGAGGAUAACAAAUGCAAAUUAAUAUGAUACUCAAUUGGUAGGUAAAAUCUUUCAUAAAUAAUGAAAUAAGAGAGCCAGACUUAAUGGAUGAAAUUGCAAUUGGCAAUAACAAACUUGUGGAGACAUCAUGAGCAACAAAGUCAUAAGUAAGAAUUUUUGAACAAAAUAAAAAUUAUCAACAAAAAACAUCACAAAUUUGAUAGCAAUUGGGAUUUGAAUACCACAAGACAACAUCUUCUUCUUCUCAAGAAGAAAAAAUAUAUAUAGAUAUAUAUUCAUUCACCAGAAGACAAUAUGUUAUUCUCAAGAAGACAAUAUAUUCAUUCACCAGAAGGCAAUGUGUUAAACCUGAUGUUGAGGUCUCCCACAUGUAUGUCAGGCAUGCUUGGAGACUUUGAGCAGGAUCGCAAAACAUAUGCCACAAAAACAACAUAGCUUUUCUCCCAAGAUCCAAAAUAUGAUGUCAUUCCUUCGGAUUGAGAAAGAUGCAUGAGAUCACUCUACAGAAACUAAAUCAACCAAUUCUUGGGCUAAGAAACCGAGUCCUACAAGAAUGCACUUAAAAGAAGACUUCCACCUCUUCAAGUGCAAUAAAUCAAAUACCCAAUGUAUAAUGUCUAAAUCAUGCACAUGUUUCUAGUAAAGAAAUAUUUUAUCACAAAACCAAGCAUUUAAGUCGAGAUUAAAAAAAAAUUUAUAAGACACUUAGUCCAUCAAUGCUUUAUGAAUUUGAGUGUUGGAUGGUUAAAAAACAAAAUAUACAAAAAGUUUAUAUUAUUUUUAUGAAAAUAUUGAGGUGGAUAUAUGAAGUUACUAAGAAAAAUAAAAAAAGAAAUAUUCUUUCAUAAACAAUUAGAUACUAUUUCGAUAGAAGGUAAAAUGAGGAAGAAUCAUUUAACAUGAUACGUAGACAUAUGUAAUAGCCAGAAGAGAUGAAAUAAUUACUUUUAGUGAAAUUGUAGUACGAGAAGAGGUAGGAAACCACCUCAAAACUAUAAAAAAAGACCUCGAGUCUAUUCCUACUUGGAUCUCUCGUCAAACACAAUACUAGGUCUAUUUUGAUACCAUAUGUUAUGACCCAAUCUGAUAGGAUACAAACCCAUUAGCCCGAUGUUGAUAGAUUUAGAACCACAUAGUCAAGAUUGUUUAGGCUCAAACGAAAGGCAGUAAACCCACUUUAGUAUAUAAACAAAUUCAAUGGUCUUCCCAUAUCUCCGAUGUAGGAUUUUACCAAUAUUGUUAAAGUGCAUUACCAGUGGGAUCUCAAAUUAGCACCACUUCUAAUCAACAUGAACUCUAUUUCUUUCACAAAGUUCGUCCAUAAGAGAAAAAACAAACAUGAUUAAGAAUUGAAGCAAGCACCAUUAAAAGGUUGAGAAGGAACAGCUACAGAGACAUAUCAUAAGGCAAAAAGAAACAAGAAAAGCUAAUAACUGAGUGCAAAUAUUAAGCAUUAGAGAGCCACUAAGCAAAACUCCAUCAACACACCUCUCACAACAUGAGAAGCAUUGGUGAGAAGUGCAUGACUGUCCUCUUCAUGGACACAUACUACUUGGAUCUCUGCCUCAUCUUUCGUCGCUUCCUCUUGAGUCUCCGCAUCCGCUUCUUCUUCCACUGCAGCAAUAAAAUGAUUCAGCUGCGAGAACUAAUGGUCAAAGCACAAUUUUGAAUAUAGAGAACAGGACAGAAUAGAUUAAGAUCAAUAUUUGCACAUCAGAGUAUGUAAACAAACCUUUAUCUUGUAUCAAGGCUGUGAUUUGAAGACAAAAGCACAACAAAGGCUAUAAUGAUCGAUAAAAAGAAGCACACAAAUGACGAUGAAUCAACAAACUUCUGAUACAUCUCAACCAAUGAAAACUAACGACGGCAGAAAUCGUCGCAUGGAAGACACUUCCAAAUUCUUCAAACAAAUCAAAACCACGUUCCACGAAAAGCAAACCUUUGCUCAUCCCUCUUUGAUUCCUCCCAAAUGAAGACAAAAACAACGCACGGAUAAUUUUACCAAGUGACGAUCUAGAAGAUCAUCUAAAAAACAAACCCCAAGUAGAACAUUUAUUCUCCCAAAGAAACCACUUUUCGUCUCAAAUAUUACAAAUACUAUCACCAGAUGAAUUCACACUGAAAAGAUCCCAAACAUCUCCAAAAAGAUAUUCCUCCGGAAAAAGAAACAGGGAGACGAUUCGGAUCUCAAAACAGAAACGAUAAGGGAACAAAGAAUACGUAAAACAAAACCAAAAUCAUACCUUUGCCCUCAUCCCAACGGAACAACGAAGCCUGCGAUGAUUUCCCUCGCGAUCUCGCCCACUUUCUUUUCCCGGUGCGGCGGCGGCGGCGGCGGCGGCGGCGUCGAGUUCGGAGGUCGGAAGCACCAGUUUAAGGUUU
rnacentral:lncRNA from 1 species